GAGUGAGUCUUGAAGUGGUGUUAUUACUGAGAUUUGACCUCGAGUAAUUAUAUUACUAGGGUGAGAGGAGGUCCAGUGGUAGUUAUAUAUGGGUGGGACUCCCGUAUGGGACUCCCUCCUAUUCUUAAGAAAAAAGUAUCAUUAGUUUAAGAAUAUGUGUUAGGUCUUAUUUGGGAAAAAAUCAAUAAGAAAUAGACCAUUUCAUUUUAAUCUUGUUGCUUUAGGAAGACUUGAAUUCUUUUAUUGUAUUAGGAAGGUGCUCUUGAACUACCUGCAACAACCAUAACCAUCCAUCUUUUCCCCAACUACUUGGGAUCGCCUUCAUGGAUCCUCAUUUGCCAAGGUGAUCGUAAACUUUCUACCGUCAAAAAUAAGGUAGUGCUGUAGUUGGAAGGGGCAUUAUUUUUAAAAGACUGGAGGAGCGAAAUGGGCAGUUAGGGGGCUGCUCAGUGCCUAGGUUCUAGGCAGGCACCUAGGUGGCCGCCCAACUUCCUGAACUACUACUACUGAUACAAUUCGACUAUUGGAACUGCUCAUCAUCUUCCCUCUCUUCCAUUCUCUUAGUGAAGCUUAGGGUUACGGCAUAUGGCAUUGCAUAAACGGGUAAUGGGGAAGGGAUAAAUUAUUUAACUAUAAAGGUCGGUUAUGGCUUAAUGGGCAUUCGACCUAUAUAAACCCGAACCCAUGACAUUCAUGACAUUCUUGCCGCCACACCUAGGCAUGGCACUUUAGGCCUGCUCUGCGUAAGGCAAGUGUUUAGGUGGGCGCCUGGCCAGCUUUUAGAAAAAUGGGAAGAGGGACCAGUGUUUGGGUUGAGGAGUUCAUUUAUAUACCUUACUAGGGUUUAUUUGGAAGGGUGCCACUGCCAUGCCCUUGGAAUUAUAAAAUAUGUUGUGAUAAAAUAUUUUUUCUAAUUUUUUCAGUCUGUUGUAUCCUGACAACCAGGAUCAGUUUGAAAAUAUAAGCUCAUAAUUUGAAAAUAUCUCCCUAUCAAUAAUUUCUGGAUAAAGUUAAAGUACAUAUGAUAUUAGUAUAUAAUUGUUUCAAUUCUUUUAAAAAGAUCCAUCUUCAGUCCACAAAAGUCCUCAGGUUACAAAGUGAGCCUAGUCUUACUUUUACUUGAAAUUCCAAAAACAAAUCCAAUGUGAAACAAGGGUUUGUUUUCAGAGUCUCAUCCGAUAAUGAUCUAUAUAAUGCUCAAUUUUAUGUAUAUAUGGGACGUUUGUGCUUGUUUUGGUUAUCUCAUCAUGUAAUUGAAUUUCACAAAAAGGACUUUAUAAAGAUUAAAUUCAGAUUUUGCAAGUAUUGAGAAGAUUAAAACUUCAGAGCCUCCUGGUGUCAAGUGGAUCCAAGUUGUGUACUUAGGCAUCCCAAAAAAGUGAAUUUGUAAAAAUUUAUUUCUAAUCUGUGAGACUCAAGCUUAAAUCUCCUCUCAUAUGGUAUCAAGUUCCGAAACCUAAGUUCUAUAUGUAUUUCUUAAUCCUCUCAUUUAGAACUUGUGGAUUUGUUAUCUUUCUAUUCAAAUUUUUUGGAUCUUUCAUGAAAUUUUCAAAUUUUAAUUCAAAAUAUUGCAAGUGUUCAGGACUUCAGGGAAUCUGUGGAUUUCUUUUGCCCGCUAUGUUUAUAUAAAGAUGAUUUAUAAUUCACAUUUCUUUGGUUUAGGGUAACAGACAUUUAGAUUUAGAUUACCAUUUAUUGUCAUUAUAUUUUUUUUAUUUGUUAUGUUGAUAAAUAUUUGAGCCCCAAAUAAUUGAAGCAAAACACUUGGACUCCCAGCUGAUACAAUGUUCUCUAUGAUGGUGUCUACUAUAUUCUCCUCAUUGGCUUUAUCUGUCUUUAUAUUAUAUUUCUAUUUGAUGUUUCUUCCUAAAGUUUCUUGUUAUUUUGUGGUUUAUGUUGCCAAAAUUGGAGCCACUACAACUGCCGAAUGCAGAAACUGAAACUGAUUUGGCUCCACCAGAUGGUAAACUGAAUUUGAUGGGCUGUUUGGUUGUUUAUAAGCUUUAGUAAGACAGAUAAUCAUGAAAACUGAGUUUAUGUAAAACAGGUUUUGUGAAUUUAUUUUUAAAUUUUUAUUUUUUCGGUGAGGCUGAUAUUCAUAAAACUCAAUUUUCAGGUUUUAUGAUCUGUCAGUUUUCUAAAAGAAGUUAUAUAAAAAGCAAUCAAACAACAAUUAAAUAAAAGUCAUAUAAUUUAUAAUUUGUGCAAAUCCGUUUUAGAACACCUGGCAUCCAAACAACCCCUGGGCUUUUUGAAUCUCGACAUUAAGAACACUCAAAAUUUAUUGCUUUAGUAAACCAUAUAUACAUCAUAGUCUAUCUUGAACUGCUAAGAAGUGUCUCAAGUAGACAAAGACCAUACAUGAACCGAAAAGGGAAAAGAGGUUGACAUUUUGCAAGCACUUGUUGUUUUUCUUUUUUAUCGAUAUUCUCCUACCUUUAUUUUUAUGUGUUUUCUUUAUGCCGAGUAACCUUUCAAAUAUAAUAAUAUAUGAUUAACUAGAUUGCUUUAUUUUAGUACUUUUUUCUGAGCAUGGUUGAAUGAAGUUGGAUGUUUAUUUGUUAUAUGCUUUGUUUUAGCAUGCCCACUAACUUUUCAAAUAAUAAUAAAAUAUGAUAAUUAGACUGUUUUGUUUGAGUACUUUUUCUGAGCAUUGUUGAAUGAGAUGGGUAAGAACCUUAUCACAUUUAUAUCGGAUAAUCAUUAUGAUGAAUCUUUAACCAUCAUAUGCAUUUGCAAAAAAUUGCUUGAAAAUUGUAGGUUGGCACUGGUGCUCGUGCAGAAAAAAUAAGGACAUACAAUUACAAGGAUAAUAGAGUAACCGACCACCGGUUGAAGAUGAACUUUGAGCUCACGUCCUUUCUCUCUGGAAAUAUUGAGACAGCCGUUCAGGCAUGUGCAGCCAUGGAGCAGAGGGAACUCUUGGAGGAGCUGGCUCAGUCAAUUGGUGCACCUAAUGUUUGAAUGUUUGAUUGAUAUGCAGUUUUAUUUUCCAGCAAAGUUUGAGUCCUGGCACAAUCCAAAUCUAGGCUCUUGUCUAGCCUGCACUAAUCUUCAUCUCAGAAAAUGAUCACAGGAACAAGUGGUGACUGGUAUCCAUCUAUGAGCAUUCUCUUUUACCAAAAUUUCUUAGUGGGUGCCAUCUAACAGAGCAGCACUAUUUUUUGUAGCAUGGUUGUUGAUACUUAAUGCUGUAAAUGAAAAUCAAACUUCUCCCUUACUUCAAAUAAGGGUAUAAAAUGGUCACUUCAAACUGUAAUGUUGUUUUCUACAGCAGAAAUUCACUUUUUUGUUUUUAAUAUUGGAAAGCUUUGUAUAAUUUUUCAAUUUAUUUAUACGAAGUUCAAAGAAAAACACACUAGAUACCAUAUUUCUUUCUUA